GGGGGCGACAUGGAUUCGACGUGGGUGUUGAAACUCCGGGUGCAUGCCGAGGUGCAGGUUCCUCGUAAAACUGUUUGCAAAACUUUAGUUGCCAACGACGACAACUACGCUCUAGCUGCUUAAAAACCAGCCUAGUGCCCUCUGACCGGAUCGUGCUUGUGCGAUGUGGAUUCCAGGGGUCAUCCUUCACAAGAUCGCGAGUAAGGCAUGUCUGGGGCCGAACCGCUAAAACCUAACUAGACUGGUUUGUAGUUUUCCUCGCCCAUCGGGUAGCCGCAAACGAGAUUAAAGUAUGGGAUAAGCAUGUAGAGCCUGUAGCGGAGAGCUUACGGACGCGGGUUCGAUUCCCGCCGCCUCCACCA
rnacentral:tmRNA from 1 species